UCUUUCCCUAAUCUUACUAAACCAUAUUUCUCACUUCUUCCUUCCUCAGACACAAAAAAAUCUCUCAUUCUCUCUAAAUCCUUCUCUCAUUCUUUCUCACCUAUCAAACAACCACCACCACCACUCACCCCUUUACCACAAUCAAACAUAGAGAUGGUUGUGUCUGCGGCUCGUGGUGGUAGUCGUCAACAACCACCUUCACGCUGGUCAGAUGGAUUUGCAAAUCACGUGAUGAUGACGAUGCAGGGUUGAAGCCAAUCUAAGCGACGACUAGGGUUCAGUCGAGACUUAUUGUAGCGGCGGUGGUGCUACUGGUGUACCGAAGUAUUGUCGCCGAUCUUUACGGCCCUGGAGGUUUUUGAUAACUCGAUCAGAUUUAGAAAAUAGAAGAGGAACUUGACCCGAUUGAAAUCACAUAUUUUGAUGUUCUACGAUUCCUUUUCAUCUUCGAUUGGGGUUAUUUGACGGGGUCUCAGAGGUUGGGCUGGGAUGUGGCUCAUCUAACGCCAAGGCAAGUACAUAUCAAUUGGUGAUGGAGGACACGUCUAUUGACGACAUACACUAAAAUUGGGAUUAAGAUUGUGGAAAAGGAAGUUGAGGUUUUGUUUGAGCUAAUCAUAAAGAGCUGCUCAAAGUGGCUAGGAUUGAGGCUGAUGG